rnacentral:rRNA from 1 species
CCGGCGACCGGCGCACGGGUGAGUAACACGUAUGCAACCUGGCCGUGACAGAUGGAUAACCGGGAGAAAUCCCGCCUAAUACAACAUAAUGCCGGGAGGGGACAUCUCCUGCCGGCCAAAGGGGGCGACCCCGGUCACGGAUGGGCAUGCGGCGCAUUAGGUAGUUGGUGGGGCAACGGCCCACCAAGCCGACGAUGCGUAGGGGUUCUGAGAGGAAGGUCCCCCACAUUGGAACUGAGACACGGUCCAAACUCCUACGGAAGGCAGCAG